UACGAAGGGGGCUAGCGUUGCUCGGAAUCACUGGGCGUAAAGGGUGCGUAGGCGGGUCUUUACGUCAGGGGUGAAAUCCUGGAGCUCAACUCCAGAACUGCCUUUGAUACUGAGGAUCUUGAGUUGGGGAGAGGUGAGUGGAACUGCGAGUGUAGAGGUGAAAUUCGUAGAUAUUCGCAAGAACACCAGUGGCGAAGGCGGCUCACUGGCCCGAUACUGACGCUGAGGCACGAAAGCGUGGGGAGCAAACAGG
rnacentral:rRNA from 1 species